GGCGCGCAGCUCUUCCUCCGUGAGGCGCUCAGCCUCAUCAAGCGUGGCGCCGGAGUAGAGCACCGCGUCCUUGACGAAGAUGCUCACGGCGCGAAGCAUGAAGGACAGGAACAGGCCAGGAUGAGGACAGCCACGGUGAGAGAGGCCAGCGAGACGGAGUAGCCCACGGUGUAGAUCAUGCCCAGGCGGUCAAACACCUCCUGUGCAGGGACCAUGGACUAGAGGAAGAAGGUCUAGUUUCCAGUGCCAGCCGGACUCCUGAAGAGCUGCCCACCUCAUGCAGGAAAGGGACUCAAGGAAGAGACCAGCUUGAGACUGGGGCAGGAGCUGUGAGGUCAGGUGAGUGCCCCUCCCAGCUUCACCAUGGCAGGGGUCCCAUGGAGAUGCUGUGUUGGUAGAAGGAAGCCUUCCUACCCCAUCAAGAACCCUUUACUGGACAGUGGAUGUGACUGACAUAGAAACCCAUCCGUAUCCCUCUAUUCUCCUCCCCUUCCAGCCCCAUUCUCCUGACCCUGGACACCUCUGCCUUGCCCUUUGCCCAGGGGGCCUUUUUCAAAGACCUAUUCUUCCUUCUGCACCUGCACUGGAUAGCUCCUCCUCCUGCAGGAAGCUGUCCCAGCCCACUCCAGCGGGGUCUGGAGCCCUCGUCAGUGCUCCUGAUCGUGGCGUGCCUCACUAGAUCUAAACCAGUUCGAGGUAAUUCAGUCAGUAGUUGCCUCCGUAACCUCCUAUCCCCACCCUGGGAGGGGAGGCUCAGUGCAUCUCUGAGCCUGCUGACUUUAAUCUCACCUGACUCACCCCAUUUUUGGUCCUCACUUUGGCCUGGCCCACUUUACCUGGACCUACCCUCCCUUGGUGCCACUUGGAUCUGCAUCCUGGACUCCCACCUUCCUCUGGCCCCUCUGUCUCCUGACCUUGCCCCCAGACCCUCCUCCUUUAGCCCCGCCCCCACCUGGCCUCUGCAGGACUUCUUUGAGCCGCUUCUCACAUUGGGCCUGGGCACGGUGCAGCAAGAAGAUCUGCUCCUCUUUGGUCAUGACGUCAUCUGCAUCCACCUACCAAGCCGAAGGUCAGAUUGCAGGCAGGACUUCCCAGCAGAGCAGCAGACUCCACAACUAUCCCAACCUCCUUGAGGGAUUCCCCCCCCCCUUUCCAAAGAAUGCGGGAAAUCUGCCUUAUGUAGCUCCAUUGUACAGACGGGAAGCCUCGGCUUCAAGGGGAAGGGCCUGCCCCACCAUAGGGAAAAAAGGGGGAGGGGUGCUGUCCCCUGCUUGCCCGAUAGUAACCCCAUAGGCUGCAGCCACUGAUAUUCUCUGUCCAGUCUGUUCCCCAGGGGUACAUGGGAAAGGGAUGGAAUGUCCCAGGGUGGAUCCUCACAGGAUCCUGGCUGUCUAUUGGGGACCUGGGUGGAGAGGGGGUGGAUAAGGGGUGGUGAACUCUGGGGAAAGAAACAGGGCCUGGAUUCCUUCAAGUCCUAGUGCCCUCGGGACCUUGGGAGUCACCAAUUUCCAUCCUGGCCCUCUCCCCAGUCAGUGCUUUCCCCGUGAAUGGAGAGUGCCUCAACUCCUCCCACCCUUGAGGUCCCAAGAGGGAGAGGAUGGAGAAAUUGCUGGCAAGUGGUCUGGGUUGGGCGGGGCACUCCUGUGCAGGCUGUGGGUGGGAGUCACCCACAUCCAUUGCUUAUCUGGAAGUUUCCCUACAUCCAAGUAGACCCUGUGUUCUGAUGAUGUGGACCGGCCUUUGCUCCUGCUGUUCCCUCUGCCUGGAAUGUCCUUCCUUUCUUUCCUUCCAGCAGGUACACCCUGGGUAUUGGCUGCCACCCACGAGGAUUCACUGGCAUCAUUUUAAGGAAGGGAGCAGGAACGUCACGGAGGUGGGGGUGAGAUGGGACUCACUCUGAGCCUCUGUUUCCCUGACUUAGGGUUGGAAGGAAGUCAGGGGGUAAAGGCAGCAUCCCGCCCUGGGAAAAACUCAGUGUGCCCAAGCCCAGCCACUCCCAUGAGUGGGACCCACAAGAGGUUAAUGCAUCCCCUCAGACCCCACCUUCACCCCCAAGUCAGGGCCAUGUCCCCGCAGACCCCCAGGACAGAGCCUGGUUCCCUUAGACCUCCAACAGGCAGAGCUGCAUCCCCUCAGACAUCCCCUGUCAGGGCCCGGUCCCUUCAGUCUGAGCGGAGCUUUGGAGGGUGGGAGAGCCCAGAGGAGGCAGGGGAGGGAGGUGGAGGUGGGGGGAAGGGGCGGGCCCCAUUAUGUGGGGGCGGGCAGCCGCCGGGAGGGUCAGGGAGACCGCUGCAGGGAGAAGUUAAUUGACCGAGUCUCUCGGUGGCAGCAGCAAGGGCUUCUAGGGCCAAGGAGUCUCCAGUUGGCUCGGCUGGGAUUGGGUUCUGCUGGUUUCACUUAGCAGAGGCGCGUGCGCGUCUUUGCGUGUGAGUGGCGGCACAGCCUUGAGUGGCCGCGCACAAUGCUGUCUGGCUGGUGUGUGCACUCGUGUGUGCCCCUGUCUCUGUAUAUUCUCACGUGGGGAUCGUCCAGCACGCACAUUUGGGACGUGAGCCUGAGGUGUCUGUGAACAUGCAUGUGUACCUAUGUUUCUGGGCAAAGGUCCGCGUGUGCGUGUCUGCGAGUGUGUGAUACGGUUGCUCAUUAGCCUGCAUGUCUGUGGGUGUCCGUGCUUUCGCGGAUCACUGGCGUCUGAGUUGGACCCUGAGAUCUCAGCUGGACCCAAUGCCCGGGAACUGCUGGAGAGAUUCCCACGUGCUUGCUGCUGGCCCCUACAGCUCCUCUAACUUCCCCCACCCGCAGCUAAGGCUGAGCAGGCUGGGGCAGAAGUAGCCCUGGGGAGAUGGGGCUUGAGGGAGGACAACUAGGGUUUUCCCUAAUCCAGGGGGCUCCAAGACUAACCUGAAGUUCUCUUUGUGCCUCUGGCAUUGGGGAUCCAAGCUGCUGAGGGGUCUGAUCCCUGGGUAGCUGCCCUGCCCAUCCCACCCCCACUACAGCACCCUUUCACCUCCAUUUCCAUUACUGCAACUAGUACCUCUGUCAGUAACCACCACCACCAUCACCACCACAACCAACACCACCAACACAACCACGCCGCCCACCGCCAAUACCACCGAUACCACCGGCAGCGGCAGCAGCAGCACCACCAUUACCCCCAUGAGCACUAACUACUAUUACCAUCGGUAUACCCACCAUCAUCACCAUCACAACUGGUAGAACAUCAUUACCAUCACCACCACCAGUGCUGUUUCCACCAGCACGAUUACCACCGUGACCAUCACCACCACCUCCAGUAUUACCACCAGCAUUGCCAUCCCCACCAGCACCAUUACCACCAAAGGCAACAUCAGCACCAUCACUGCCACCAGCCCCGUAACCACGCUGAGGAAAAGCUCCUGAGUGGCUGACAGGCUUCCACCAGUCCCCAAAGUCUGGCACACCAGCCCUCCCGAUAGACAGACUAGCCCACUGAUGUGACCCACUGAGGGUUACGGCUGAUGGCCUAGACUAAAGGCAUGCAGCCAUGGGUUGAAAACUGCCCAUUUGGCAGACUGACAGACAGACAGGUGUGCAGCUGGGUGACGACCAGGAACUGACCCACACCCCCUAUCACAGGCCCAAGGCAUCUGCUCAGCCGCCACCUACUGCUACUGCUGCCCUCUGUGGCCAAGAGGAGGCACAUCCUCUUUUCUGGAGUCUCAUUUCCCGGUGGGUCUGGGAAUGCGCAGGAGAGGGGCAUGUGCUUCAGGCACCAGAUAGCCCCCAGAUUCCUUCACCCACAGGGACGGUGGCACCAUCUCUGGCCUCCCUGGACUGUACGCCCCAUUUCUCUGUCACCCAAUCAUGGCAGAACUGCCAUUGCAGCAAGAAGAAUUCAAGCCAAGGAGUCAAGAAAGCACUUUCCCAAGGGGUGGAGGGCAGCUCUACACCAAGGGCGUCCCCACCUGCUUUACAGUACAGCUCCCCUGCCUGGAAUUCGCCCAUCACCUCUCCCUCCAGCUGCACCCUCUCCUCAUCUAAGGAGAUGCUGCCACCAGCAUCUUGAAUCCUGUCUUGAAUCCUGUCUCCACCACUGACUGACUUUGCAUCUUUGGCAAAGCUGUUUAACCCUUGUGCCUCAGUCUCCCACGUGUAAAAUCAAGACAAUAAUAGGGCUGUUGUGAGGGUUAAA